rnacentral:sRNA from 1 species
GCCAGGUAUGGUGGUGCAUGCCUGUCAUUCCAGCUACUUGGGAGGCUGAGGCAGGAGGAUGGUGAGUUCAAGGCCAGUCUCAGCAACUUAAUGAGGUCCUAAACAAUAUAAUGAGACUCUGUCUCAA